CAAAUGUGAAGAUUGCUACAGCUCCUUCCAAUGUAGUGGUGCUUACAUCUAAAAAUUUUAAUGAGGUUGUCUUAGAUGAAACCAAAGAUGUCUUGGUUGAGUUUUAUGCACCUUGGUGUGGACAUUGCAAAAGUCUUGCUCCUACUUACGAGAAAGUUGCCACAACAUUUAAAUUGGAGGAAGAUGUAGUAAUUGCAAAUUUGGAUGCUGAUAAAUAUAAGGAUCUGGCUGAAAAGU